rnacentral:rRNA from 1 species
GGUAGGAGACACUCAGGUCUUACCGUACCGGAGAAAACGAAAGGUCGAAAGACGACAGAAUUCUCAAGCUAUCACUCAAUACUGAGCACUUAAGUCAUACCCGACCAUGGCUGGCUGGAGUAUAGCCCUGAGAAAUUUGGAUUAAUACCUCAUAGUAAUAUUUUUUGGCAUCAUUAAAUAUUUAAGACUCCGGUGGAUAUAGAUGAGCAUGCGUUCUAUUAGUUUGUUGGUGAGGUAAAAGCUCACCAAGACUACCAUAGAUAGAGGGGCCUGAAAGGGUGACCCCCCACACUGCUACUGAGACACGGACCAGACUCCUACGGGAGGCAAGCAAUGAGGAAUAUUGCGCAUUGAAGGAAACUCUGAUGCAACCAUGCGAGGUGCAGGAAGACGACCCAAACGGUUGAAAACUGCU